rnacentral:rRNA from 1 species
UGGGGAAUUUUGCGCAAUGGGGGAAACCCUGACGCAGCAACGCCGCGUGAGUGAUGAAGGCCUUCGGGUCGUAAAGCUCUGUCAGAGGGGAAGAAAUGCAGGGGUGCUGAUAUCAUCUUUGCUUGACGGUACCCUCAAAGGAAGCACCGGCUAACUCCGUGCCAGCAGCCGCGGUAAUACGGAGGGUGCGAGCGUUGUUCGGAAUUAUUGGGCGUAAAGCGCGUGUAGGCGGUUUGAUAAGCCUGAUGUGAAAGCCCCGGGCUCAACCUGGGAAGUGCAUUGGAAACUGUCAGACUUGAAUACGGGAGAGGGUAGUGGAAUUCCUAGUGUAGGAGUGAAAUCCGUAGAUAUUAGGAGGAACACCGGUGGCGAAGGCGGCUACCUGGACCGAUAUUGACGCUGAGACGCGAAAGCGUGGGGAGCAAACA